AUUGAACGCUGGCGGCAGGCCUAACACAUGCAAGUCGAGCGAGCGGCGGACGGGUGAGUAAUGUCUGGGAAACUUUGCGCUGGAGGGGGAUAACUCAGGGAAAAAGUACCGAUUAUCGCAUACCAUCAGAUGUGCCCAGAUGGGAGUAGCUAGUAGGUGGGGGAAUGGCUCACCUAGGCGACGAUCCCUAGCUGGUCUGAGAGGAUGACCAGCCACACUGGAACUGAGACACGGUCCAGACUCCUACGGGAGGCAGCAGUGGGGAAUAUUGCACAAUGGGGGAAAGCCUGAUGCAGCCAUGCCGCGUGUAUGAAGAAGGCCUUCGGGUUGUAAAGCACUUUCAGCGGGGAGGCGUUACCCGCAGAAGAAGCACCGGCUAACUCCGUGCCAGCAGCCGCGGUAAUUC
rnacentral:rRNA from 1 species